AAACUUUAUCACAAACGGUUGUAACAAUAGCCAGUAUAUUUGUUUUCUGUCUCAAAAACUUGACAAAUAUAUGCAUAGUUUAAAUGUGCAUAAAUGAAGGUUCUGUCUUGGAGCAAAAGGUGUUUUUCACAAAAGGUUAACUUAUCCAAAAAUAAAUAUAUGAAGAAUUUAUGCUUCUAUAUGUUCAUGUUCAUCUCCACAAAUAUCAGUUAUUUCAUCUAAUUGUCUAAAUCAAGGAUAGUAAGUUAACUAAAACCAAUUAUCAGUCAUUCAUAUACAGACCUGUACUCGUGCGUAGCUUCAAAGUUAUUUGAUCUCGUGCCUUGGCUGAGGAAGUCUAACUCAACCUAUCCUGCAAAGAAUGUCUUAAAGCACCUGUAGAAAAUAAAACAAAGCAUAUGAACACAGACGCAAUUAAUCAAUCCAGAAAAAAAUAGCAAAAAUGCACAAAUCAGCCACUUUGAUCUGUGUGAAUUGGAAAAGAUUUAACUAACUUGCUAAGAUUUAUUGUCAAUCUGCAAUAUAAUAGAUUUGCUGCUCAAAGAAGUAUCUCAUUGCAGAUCAAUGCAAAUUGGAGCUUUGGUAGCUCCAUUUCCACCCGUAGGCUAAAAGAAAACAAACAUUCACCGUCACUUUCAAUUUGAAUUUCACUUCAUCUUUAGAAUUGAGGUUAUAGAGUUUCAAAACCUAACUUACCAAAAUUGGAUGUCCAAUUAAACUGUUAAAAACCGGUGAUUUACCAACACCAUACAAACUCGAAAUCAAAAUUGAAAUCGCAAAUAUAAUAAAUUAGAAACUAUGAUGAUGGAGGAAUGAAAUGGAGAAGACUUACAACGUUUCCGAGAGCAACGGCGUUGAGGAAAGUUGAAGAUCUUUGGGAAUUGGUUGUGUCAUCGAUAUCUUCGUCGACGCUUUGGAAUCAUCCUCUAUUGCCGCCAUAGAUGAUGAAAAUCAACGGAUCCAAAACCGAAAUAGAGAGAGAAAUUUUUAAUACUCGAAAGAGUCUGCGUGUAUGUGCCUGAAAAAUAGGGAUCGAUCGAAACCGAACCCUAAACCAGACCCUAAGCUACGAUCUGAAACCAGAAACUCUGAUUUUCUAUCGCUAAAGAAUUAAGAAAUGAAGGACUUAGCUAAUCUAAAACAUGGAACAAAGAAAACCUCAAUUGGCGUAGCUUGAAGGAGAAGCAUAUCAUAGAUUCGUGUUGAUUAAUGCAGAGUCGCAGCUAGUAGCAACAAUAUCUUAGAGUCCCAAUGGUGUUGCACCAAGUUGCCACGGUGGCGCAACGAACACGCAAUGAAACACAACCGUGGGGUACUGAAACGCCACGGUGGCGCAACGAGACGCACUAGUGGGGGUCAGAGUAGAGGGUGGAUCGAAAGCAAGGAGAGCGAGAGGAAAAAAUGAUUAUGUUUUUAAGUAAAAAUAUUUUUUUAUUAAAUU
rnacentral:lncRNA from 1 species